UUUUAAAAGGCAUCCAAUAAUUCUUGUGGCCAUAUAUCAAUUCAUGUAAGUUUGAUUGUAAUUAUUGGUGAAGGGGUUUCACUUCCCGUCUCUAAAUAAAAAUACUGAUUCUUUAAGGUACAUGCCACUAGGGAUUGCGAGAUUAACGAGUCUUUGGACAUUGGAAGAGCUCCUUGUGAGUGGAGGAGGAGGUGUUGAUGGUAGCAAAGCAUGUGGGCAGUGGGCUUGAAUCUCUUAAAAACUCGGAACUCCUCCAAGCGUAAGUAUACGUAUACUGGGAAAUGUGUUAGAUGUGGAUGAGGCUAAGAGAUUAGAGCUUGACAAAAUGAAAUACCUCUUUCAUUGAGACUUAAAUUUGAUGGGGAAGAAGAAAAAGAAGAGGGAAGGAGGAAGAAUGAGGAUAAUCAACUUGUUCUUGAAGCCUUGCAACCACCUCUGAAUUUGAAGGAAUUAGAGAUUUGGUCAUACAGAGGCAACAU
rnacentral:lncRNA from 1 species